GAUGAACGCUGGCGGCGUGCCUAAUACAUGCAAGUCGAGCGAACGGACGAGAAGCUUGCUUCUCUGAUGUUAGCGGCGGACGGGUGAGUAACACGUGGAUAACCUACCUAUAAGACUGGGAUAACUUCGGGAAACCGGAACUAAUACCGGAUAAUAUUUUGAACCGCAUGGUUCAAAAGUGAAAGACGGUCUUGCUGUCACUUAUAGAUGGAUCCGCGCUGCAUUAGCUAGUUGGUAAGGUAACGGCUUACCAAGGCAACGAUGCAUAGCCGACCUGAGAGGGUGAUCGGCCACACUGGAACUGAGACACGGUCCAGACUCCUACGGGAGGCAGCAGUAGGGAAUCUUCCGCAAUGGGCGAAAGCCUGACGGAGCAACGCCGCGUGAGUGAUGAAGGUCUUCGGAUCGUAAAACUCUGUUAUUAGGGAAGAACAUAUGUGUAAGUAACUGUGCACAUCUUGACGGUACCUAAUCAGAAAGCCACGGCUAACUACGUGCCAGCAGCCGCGGUAAUACGUAGGUGGCAAGCGUUAUCCGGAAUUAUUGGGCGUAAAGCGCGCGUAGCGGUUUUUUAGUCUGAUGUGAAAGCCCACGGCUCAACCGUGGAGGGUCAUUGGAAACUGGAAAACUUGAGUGCAGAAGAGGAAAGUGGAAUUCCAUGUGUAGCGGUGAAAUGCGCAGAGAUAUGGAGGAACACCAGUGGCGAAGGCGACUUUCUGGUCUGUAACUGACGCUGAUGUGCGAAAGCGUGGGGAUCAAACAGGAUUAGAUACCCUGGUAGUCCACGCCGUAAACGAUGAGUGCUAAGUGUUAGGGGGUUUCCGCCCCUUAGUGCUGCAGCUAACGCAUUAAGCACUCCGCCUGGGGAGUACGACCGCAAGGUUGAAACUCAAAGGAAUUGACGGGGACCCGCACAAGCGGUGGAGCAUGUGGUUUAAUUCGAAGCAACGCGAAGAACCUUACCAAAUCUUGACAUCCUUUGACAACUCUAGAGAUAGAGCCUUCCCCUUCGGGGGACAAAGUGACAGGUGGUGCAUGGUUGUCGUCAGCUCGUGUCGUGAGAUGUUGGGUUAAGUCCCGCAACGAGCGCAACCCUUAAGCUUAGUUGCCAUCAUUAAGUUGGGCACUCUAAGUUGACUGCCGGUGACAAACCGGAGGAAGGUGGGGAUGACGUCAAAUCAUCAUGCCCCUUAUGAUUUGGGCUACACACGUGCUACAAUGGACAAUACAAAGGGCAGCGAAACCGCGAGGUCAAGCAAAUCCCAUAAAGUUGUUCUCAGUUCGGAUUGUAGUCUGCAACUCGACUACAUGAAGCUGGAAUCGCUAGUAAUCGUAGAUCAGCAUGCUACGGUGAAUACGUUCCCGGGUCU
rnacentral:rRNA from 1 species